GGCGGGUAGGAGGGGUCCCUCAGCCUGGAUUGUGAGAGGGCACAGGCCAGGCGGAGGGAUCCCACUGGUGCACG
rfam:Myotis brandtii contig195773, whole genome shotgun sequence.